CUGAAUUUAAGCAUAUUAAUGAGGGGAGGAAAAGAAACUAACAAGGAUUUUCUUAGUAGCGGCGAGCGAAAAGAAAAUAGUUCAGCACUAAGUCACUUUGUCUUUAUGGCAAAUGUGAGAUGCAGUGUAUGGAAUGUCAAAUUUCUAGUAUGAGAAAUUAACGAUUUAAGUCCUUCUUAAAUGAGGCCAUUUACCCAAAGAGGGUGCCAGGCCCGUAUAACGUUAAUGAUUACUAGAUGGCAUUUCCAAAGAGUCGUGUUGCUUGAUAGUGCAGCACUAAGUGGGUGGUAAACUCCAUCUAAAACUAAAUAUAACCAUGAGACCGAUAGUAAACAAGUACCGUGAGGGAAAGUUGAAAAGAACUCUGAAUAGAGAGUUAAAUAGUACGUGAAACUGCUUAGAGGUUAAGCCCGAUGAACCUGAAUAUCCGUUAUGGAAAAUUCAUCAUUAUGAUUUUAAUAUUUAUAAUAUUAUAAUAAUGGUGUGCAUUUUUUCUAUAAAGGACAUUGUAAUCUAUUAACUUUACAUUAUUUAUCAUAAGAUCAUUAGAUUAUGUUUAUUCAAAUUAUUUUGCUUGCAUUUUAAUAUCGAAUAAAUUCUUUUGAUUUGAUAAAGCGUUGAUAGAUUUAUUAUAUACAGUGCUUAAAUAUUUAUAUUUUAUAAUAUCAUAUUAAUCAAUGAUUUUUAUGUUCAUUAUAUGCACUUGUAUGAUUAACAAUGCGAAAGAUUCAGGAUACCUUCGGGACCCGUCUUGAAACACGGACCAAGGAGUCUAACAUAUUUGCAAGUUAUUGGGAAUAAAAACCUAAUAGCGAAAUUAACAUAACUUUAAUGGGAUUAGUUUUUAGCCUAUUUAUAGUCUAUUAAUUCAAUCCCGGGGCGUUCUAUACAGUUAUGUAUAAUAAUAUUUAUAUUAUUUAUACCUCUAACUAGAGCGUACCUUGAGCAUAUAUGCUGUGACCCGAAAGAUGGUGAACUAUACUUGAUCAGGUUGAAGUCAGGGGAAACCCUGAUGGAAGACCGAAACAGUUCUGACGUGCAAAUCGAUUGUCAGAAUUGAGUAUAGGGGCGAAAGACCAAUCGAACCAUCUAGUAGCUGGUUCCCUCCGAAGUUUCCCUCAGGAUAGCUGGUGCAUUUAAAAAUUAUGUAAAAUAAUCUUAUCUGGUAAAGCGAAUGAUUAGAGGCCUUAGGGUCGAAACGAUCUUAACCUAUUCUCAAACUUUAAAUGGGUAAGAACCUCACCUUUCUUGGUAUGAAGGUUGUGGUUGUGAUAUAAUGUGCCCAGUGGGCCACUUUUGGUAAGCAGAACUGGCGCUGUGGGAUGAACCAAACGUAAUGUUACGGUGCCCAAAUUAACAACUCAUGCAGAUACCAUGAAAGGCGUUGGUUGCUUAAAACAGCAGGACGGUGGACAUGGAAGUCGUAAUCCGCUAAGGAGUGUGUAACAACUCACCUGCCGAAGCAACUAGCCCUUAAAAUGGAUGGCGCUUAAGUUGUAUACCUAUACAUUACCGCUAAAGUAGAUGGUUUAUAUUCAAUUUCGGUUGGAUUUUAAACUUUGAAACUUUAGUGAGUAGGAGGGUACAAUGGUGAGCAUAGAAGUGUUUGGCGUAAGCCUGCAUGGAGCUGCCAUUGGCACAGAUCUUGGUGGUAGUAGCAAAUAAUCGAAUGAGACCUUGGAGGACUGAAGUGGAGAAGGGUUUCGUGUGAACAGUGGUUGAUCACGAGUUAGUCGGUCCUAAGUUUAAGGCGAAAGCCGAAAAUUUUCAAGUUAUAAUGAAUAAGUAAAAUAUAUACAAGUAUAUAUAAGAAAAAGUAAUAAAACACUUGAAUAAUUUUGAACGAAAGGGAAUACGGUUCCAAUUCCGUAACCUGUUGAGUAUCCGUUUGUUAUUAAAUAUGGGCCUUGUGCUCAUCCUGGCAACAGGAACGACCAUAAAGAAGCCGUCGAGAGAUAUCGGAAGAGUUUUCUUUUCUGUUUUAUAGUCGUACUACCAUGGAAGUCUUUCGAAGAGAGAUAUGGUAGAUGGACUAGAAGAGCAUGACAUUUACUGUUGUGUCGAUAUUUUCUCCUCGGACCUUGAAAAUUUAUGGUGGGGUCACGCAAACUUCUCAACAGGCCGUACCAAUAUCCGCAGCUGGUCUCCAAGGUGAAGAGUCUCUAGUCGAUAGAAUAAUGUAGGUAAGGGAAAGUCG
rnacentral:rRNA from 1 species